GAUCCGAUGUUAUUGAGCAACUGUCCAUGGAACGUGCGGGUGAAGCGAUGGUGCCUUAUGCUGCGCUAAAUCUGAGCAAACCCCGGAAAGUUCCAAGGCAGGUGAAUCAAGAAAGGACGCUGUAUGCACAGACCAAGCAGAAACCAAUGCAUGGUAAAGUGAUUUCUACGACGG